rnacentral:rRNA from 1 species
AUUGAACGCUGGCGGCAUGCCUUACACAUGCAAGUCGAACGGCAGCACGGGGCAACCUGGUGGCGAGUGGCGAACGGGUGAGUAAUGCAUCGGAACGUGCCAUUGAGUGGGGGAUAACGUAGCGAAAGUUGCGCUAAUACCGCAUAUUCUGUGAGCAGGAAAGCAGGGGACCGCAAGGCCUUGCGCUCUUUGAGCGGCCGAUGUCAGAUUAGCUAGUUGGUGAGGUAACGGCUUACCAAGGCGACGAUCUGUAGCGGGUCUGAGAGGAUGAUCCGCCACACUGGAACUGAGACACGGUCCAGACUCCUACGGGAGGCAGCAGUGGGGAAUUUUGGACAAUGGGCGCAAGCCUGAUCCAGCCAUGCCGCGUGAGUGGAGAAGGCC